UGUCCGAGCUUCCACAGUGGAUGGAUUCUAGAUGAGCUUCUGCAACAGACGGGCUCCAGCAGCUGGACCUCUACGAUGGCCGAUCGCCUUCGAUGUCUGCCGAACCUCCCCAACGCUAUCCGAAGUCCAUCGACCGACCCUCCACCAGAUUCUUCAUAAAACCAGACUUCUCCAAUGGAUAAUCUUCAAACGAGCUUCCACAUCAGGUAAAUCUCAGACGGACUUCUCUAGCAAUCGAACUCCUACCGGACUUCGCCAAUGAAAAAUCUCCAUCCG
rnacentral:lncRNA from 1 species